AUUGAACGCUGGCGGCAUGCCUUACACAUGCAAGUCGAACGGCAGCACGGGAGCAAUCCUGGUGGCGAGUGGCGAACGGGUGAGUAAUAUAUCGGAACGUGCCCAGUCGUGGGGAUAACGUAGCGAAAGCUACGCUAAUACCGCAUACGAUCUAUGGAUGAAAGCGGGGGAUCGCAAGACCUCGCGCGAUUGGAGCGGCCGAUAUCAGAUUAGGUAGUUGGUGAGGUAAAGGCUCACCAAGCCGACGAUCUGUAGCUGGUCUGAGAGGACGACCAGCCACACUGGGACUGAGACACGGCCCAGACUCCUACGGGAGGCAGCAGUGGGGAAUUUUGGACAAUGGGCGCAAGCCUGAUCCAGCAAUGCCGCGUGCAGGGUGAAGGCCUUC
rnacentral:rRNA from 1 species